AAGACUCCAGGCAGUCCCCGGCAACUUCAACUUCCUUAAAGACGGAGGUGACAUACACUGUGGAUCUUGUAUGUCAUCCUGCCUAGACUUCGGAGGAGGCUCUGCACUGAUUCAUGCCUCACCAACCUUCAUUUGUGCCAUGUCUUGCAACACACAGUGUGAUGAAGGCCUGUAUCUCAAGCUGUAGUGCACCUAAAAAAAUGGAGCAUGUGCCUGCAGAACCAAUGAAAUACAUCAAAUUGAGGUAAUUCUACCUAUUCCAGACCUCAGAAAAUGUAGCCACUGUUGGGUGGGAAAUGCUGUGCCUAGAAGAAAAGGCUGGGUGUUUUCUUAGGUUAACCCAAAGCCCUUGAUCUGUUUUGAGACAUGGAACAUGACUUGGGGAGAUUAGCUGGAGGACAUAUUUAGACAACUAAAGAGUCUUAACAAUGCCAGGUUAGCAGAGCUGGGUGACAUUUACAGCUCUACCCAUCUAUGCAUCGAGUUCUCUCUUUAGGCAGUCAUGAAAGAACAUUCAUCAUACAAUGCUUUUUACUCUUCUAGAAAUUCAUACAGAUGACAGCUCACAGAAGUUUGCAGUAGAAGAAUGAUUUUGCAGUUUAACAGGCAUCAUAUAACAUAAAUAUUGUGUUUUAAAAGAAUAAGCAGCGCGAUUAAGCAGAAAUAAAGCUCCGUGGUAUUUGAG